UAUCACAGCCGGACUGCUGAUC
rnacentral:miRNA from 1 species